rnacentral:rRNA from 1 species
ACCUGAAGGCCUACCACCCUGAACAUGCCCGAUCUCAGAAGCUAAGCAGGGUCAGGCCUGGUUGUACUUGGAUGGGAGACCCUACCUGAACGAGGCAGCCAAGCC